rnacentral:rRNA from 1 species
UGAGGAAUAUUGGUCAAUGGGCGGGAGCCUGAACCAGCCCAGCCGCGUGAGGGAUGAAGGCGCUAUGGGUCGUAAACCUCUUUUGUCUGGGAACAAAAGCGAGUAUGCAUACUUGUCUGNGUGUACCUGAAGAAAAAGCAUCCGCUAACUCCGUGCCAGCAGCCGCGGUAAUACGGAGGAUGCGAGCGUUAUCCGGAUUUAUUGGGUUUAAAGGGUGCGUAGGCGGCGAUGCAAGUCAGCGGUAAAAGCCCGGGGCUCAACCCCGGCGAGCCGUUGAGACUGCAGUGCUAGAGAAGGCGAGAGGUACGCGGAAUGCGCAGUGUAGCGGUGAAAUGCUUAGAUAUUGCGCAGAACUCCGAUUGCGAAGGCAGCGUACUGGCGCCUGACUGACGCUGAGGCACGAAAGCGUGGGGAUCGAACAGG